AACGAACGCUGGUGGCAUGCCUAACACAUGCAAGUCGAACGAGACCUUCGGGUUUAGUGGCGCACGGGUGCGUAACGCGUGGGAAUCUGCCCUUGGGUUCGGAAUAACAGUUAGAAAUGACUGCUAAUACCGGAUAAUGUCUUCGGACCAAAGAUUUAUCGCCCAGGGAUGAGCCCGCGUAGGAUUAGCUAGUUGGUGAGGUAAAGGCUCACCAAGGCGACGAUCCUUAGCUGGUCUGAGAGGAUGAUCAGCCACACUGGGACUGAGACACGGCCCAGACUCCUACGGGAGGCAGCAGUGGGGAAUAUUGGACAAUGGGCGAAAGCCUGAUCCAGCAAUGCCGCGUGAGUGAUGAAGGCCUUAGGGUUGUAAGCUCUUUACCCGGGAUGAUAAUGACAGUACCGGGAGAAUAAGCCCCGGCUAACUUCGUGCCAGCAGCCGCGGUAAU
rnacentral:rRNA from 1 species